rnacentral:rRNA from 1 species
UUUGACCUCGAAUCAGGUAGGACUACCCGCUGAACUUAA